CGCUGUUGCUGUGGCAGUGUGGCUGCUGGAGUUUGCCUAUUUUCGACUUUUCGGGUUUCGCCUCGUGGUCAAUAAUGGCGUGGCCGGUCGUCUGUCUGACAAUGACUGCAGAAAAACCGCUGUCCUUAAUAAAGGUUUGAAGAAUCUCUUGCUUCUUUACUUCUAUGCAUGUCUCAUCUAAUGCAGAAUCACUUCAUAGCAAAGCCUACCCCUUUUACCAUUCCCAACCUGUCCUUCCUUCUACAAAAUUUUUCAACUGACUACUCUUGGGCUACUACUUUCCCAAUUUUUACUAAAGCUACGGUGUGAUGGAAGUCAAACUCAGCCCCUUCUUGCCUUCUGUUUCCUUGAAUGUCAAAUCAGUAGCUCCGCUCAAAACAGAAAUUAAAUGCAGACAAAUCUGGUCAAGUGAGCUAUGUCUGGGCAACUGAUUUCAGUUUGUAUCUGUUUUCUGUGUUCUCGUCUUUGUGAGCUGUGUGGCCCUAUAGUGCAGGAAUAAUAUAGUGACGUUCUGGAGAAAAUGCAUGCUUGCUUGCUUUCGAUAAUGCCUUGGCACUUAAUGCAUGUAUGUGGCUCAUUUGAUCCUGACUCUGGAAACUAGACAAAGUUUCACCCAUCAAAUUGGUUCCCCUGAACUCAGUUCCUCUGAUAAAUUUGUUCAGAAAAUUCAGCAGUUGGCUGGCCAUAUGCCACAUCUUCCUAGAGUAUAUCGAAUAGUAGUGCAAUCUACCUCUGGCUAUCCCCAAAGAAACUUGUGUUUUAACUGAUAAAUUGUUGAUCAAGACUUUCGUCCAGUGCAUUCAUCCAUCCAGUACAAUAAGUUGCAUUCAAUCCACAGCUAACAAAAGUUUUCGCCAAGAAGAUUAUUAGUGGAUAAACUCUUCUCUUUAAUUCGCAUUUAACAGCGCCAUUGGGGCACCUUUGAUAAAUGAGUGAACUAUUACGUCAUACCAUCGACAACGAAAUCGUCCCCUGUUGGAAUGUAGGAUUGUCUCGACUGCGAACAACUCCAACUGGGAACAAGCUGUCUUUCCUCGUCAGCUGAUUGAUCAAAUUUAGUCAUCUUCAAUGUGAUUCCCUUGACAGUAAUUGUGAAGCAUGAGCGACAGCCGGGAACGGCAACAGUGUUCUUCAAAUGAUCUCCAGUUCAUCAGCUGCUGCCGAAUUAUCUUCGGAUCACGAGCUUAUUAUUCGCCCUUUCUGUUUGUUUGAUAAUUAUUUGUUUGGCCAGUUGCGUCGACUCCAACAAUUGCUGCCCAUGUCACCGCACUACUUCCGCCACUAGACAAGUGGGAAAAGGACUUAAAACGUUUCAUUCAUCGUUGAUAUCUCGCAGGCGUUAGUACUCCGGGAAAGAGCCGACAGCUAAAGUCUGCCCCCAAUUCUCUUAAAACGGAUAACGAAGUCCUUUUUUCCAAUAGGGAAUUGCGCCGGACCACUCCCGACCUGCUUGUGACUUACCUCUAAUCGAUAUUUUCGAUGUGAAAACGGAGCGACACAGGAAGAAGAAAUGAAGAGAAGGCAUUGACAUCGUGUUUCUACCUUGCCUGUGGUUCGAGGUAUUGAGUUCGACCCGGUGGUGCAGCACUUCUACUGGAUAGACUGGAGUUAACUAACAAUUCGUCGUGCGCUAGAUAACAGUAUCCAGGCUUCAGUCGUUAUGGCCAAUCCAACACUAGUUCUCUUUUGGAGUUGCUCUAGGUUAAAUGCGAUCAACGCUACCAGAAUCGAUAGUCAUAUUUCUGUUGGUAUCCUGGUUGGAGGUCCGUCUUCACCAACUUGCCGUCCCAAAUCGAAUGGUGCCGUAUACGACGGAAAUAAUCGCGACAAGAUAAGAGAAUCGCGACAAGAUAAGAGAAAUAGAUAUCGACCAACCUUCAGCGCCGACUAUCGACACAGAAGAGAAGAUGAUAUUUUGAGCUGACACCAAACAACCGCAGGAAGUUGACCCCUUCUAAAUUAGUCAAGCCUACAGCAUCAACAGUUCACGGACAGCACAAUUAUUUGUUGGAGAAAGAAGGCGGUGGAGAAAACGGCGUUCCAUUCCCAGGAGGUACGCAGAUAUUGGAAACGAGUGAUCGAAUACGAUUUCCUUUUCUCAGUUGUGUUGAAGAUGGCAAGCUAUAAAUCACAAAUAGAUCAUCCGAGUCCGAGCAUAUGGAAUAAGAAUUAUUCAGAUCACAAAGAUGAACUAUCAACCCAAAUCAGAAAAUGCAACUGACGGCCGGUAAAGUUUUGUUCGCGCUGGAAGAAUAACGGAAACAUCUCCAACUCUUCUACCGAUUUCCGAUGGAGUUCUGCUAUGUUACCCAUGUUAGUUCUAAGAAGGAAAAAUUUUAGAGUUGUGCAGCCUACUGUCCACUCAGUUCAAAAUCAUUCUACUCUACUGAAGGUGCCAUCAAAAUAAUACAGGAUUCAUCUCUCAUUCCAUCUUCUGGAGAAUCUAGGAUAACUGAUCGGUGGUUUAUUCAUGUAGAAGUUCACUUGUCUUUUCACUGAACCAAAUCGUCCAAUAUCGCAAAUCUGCAGAAGUGAGCAUGUGACAAACUCAUAUGUAAGUGAUCUGAUUAUCCUUAUGGCGACGUUUUGAAGUAGUAGGAUGAAGGUGGUUAGUUUUUUUCUACAUUUAAUCAACUUUUUGCUCUUCUAUCUAUGAUAACCAGUGGUUUUUGAAGUUUGUUAGGUUUGUUUUUUUUCUUCAAAAGGUUGGGUUAGAAUAUUUUUCUCAAGGUUGGUGCAUUUUUCGGGAUUGGAAUUUCCUUAUGGCGACGUUUUGAAGUAAUAGCCAAUGGAACGAAGGUGGUAAAUAUUUUCUACGUUUUAUCAAUAUUACGAUUACAAGUUGUUGAUUUUUCUUAAAAGGCAGGGUUAGAAUUUUGGUCAAAAGGUUGGGGCAUGGGUUGGGGUGGGGUUAGAAUUUUUGUCAAAAGGUGGGGUUAAAAUUCGUCCACCAGAGGGGUUUGGUGUUGCAGUCAGUGAGUCAUGUCAAGGCAUUCAGGUGCAGACUGUAGAACUGGGACGCCGCACGUCUGCGUUUUAGCAUGUCAGCAAACUUAAAAGUUUUGCAUCGUGAAGAUCAAAGUCCCACUCCCAGUGUAGACGUCUGACCAUGUGUCCUGAUCCUGAAAGUGCUGUCGUUGCUGUCCGUAUGCAGAAAUGUCGUCUCGUUCUAGAAAGUAGAAACUUGAAUACAAUGUGCCUCAUAUCUUGCCGAGUUGGUGUUGGAGAAGGGAUAUGCUUGCUACUGUGGGGUCUGAAAGCUUACAAUAUAUACUUGUCAACUCCAUGUGUUGUUGUGGAGUGCUCUACAAUUUCUGAAGACUUUCACUGCAUGUUGAGAUGUUUUGUUGCAUGGAGAAGUACUUUUACUUUGAAGAGGAAAUGUGCAAGGGCCAUGCAGCUUACUGUCCACUAUUUUGUUCAUAAUAAUUGUUAUCUACUGAAUUCCAAAGCUUAAACAAUCUUUUUCCCUAACUUUUGAAAGGUAGAUUAAUUCGAGCUGUUGAAUGAUGGUGUUUGCUGCUCAAUGCGAAGAUGGUGAAAGGAGUGCUCGACUCAGAAUAAGCUGCUAUUGUCUCUGGUGUUGGUGAAUCUACAUUCAAAAAACCGGUCUUUAACUUCUUUGGACAUGAGGUAACAUUGGCAGUUCCUUCAAUUUAUAUUUCGCCAUUCAAUUUAUCAUGCGACCUGCCUUCCCAAAAUGUCGUCUCUUGCUGUAUGUUGCAUAUUUCGUCAAAAGAUGAGUUAUUUUCUCGCCAUUCGUCUAAGCUGAACCGAUAGUGAACCAAUUUAAAGCAACAGGUGAUUUCCUUUUCUCCACAGUGUGGUCGCUGCUGUGCGAUGAAGACGGUCUUUGUGAGGGUCUACUAUGUUGCAAGACAAACUUUUUGAAAGGAGGGAAUCUGUUAAGAGAUUGAGGAUAUGGCAAAGGCUGAAUUUCAUUGCUGACAUGCAGGUGAUUUUGUUGCAGACAGCUGGUGAAAGCGAGGGCAAGUCAAGUUUAGCUGAAGCUUCUGGAAGUAGUCUACAUUGCUGGUGUCAUCCUGAAGAGGGGUAGUGUUACUUGAAAUGUAACAGCAACAAAGACAUCUUGAAAAGGACUUGGUGACAGUGUUAAGUGGCAAUCUGCUGCAUGCAUUUCAUGAGAAGAUGGUGUUAUCCAUAAGUGUUGCAGGGAGACUUGGAGCAUAGAUGCAAGAAAACCUCUAGAAAUGGUGAUUUUGUUGCAGCCAGCUGGUGAAAGAGAGUUCAAGUCAAGUUUAACUGAAGCUUCUCAAAGUAGUCUACAUUGCUGGUGUCAUCCCGAAGAGGGGCAGUGUUGCUUGAAGUGUAACAGCAACAAAGACAUCUUGAAAAGGACUUGGUGACAGUGUUAAGUGGCAAUCUGCUGCAUGCAUUUCAUGAGAAGGUGGUGUUAUCCAGAAGUGUUGCAGGGAGACUUGGACCAUAGAUGCAAGCAAACCUCUAGAAAUGGAGUUGGUGGAAAUCUUAAGUGAUUUUGCUGUCUGGUUCCUGUUCAAGCUGUUUGUAUACUGUAUCUGCUGAAAUCUUCGAAAUAGCUGAUGCUGAUAUUAUCCUUCAAUUGGUUUUCCAGUGCAAUUUUGUUUGUCUACUACAAUAUUUUGUCUUCUUUGUUUUCAUCUGUGUAGUGUAUAAUUCGAACUAUUUGAUAUUUAGAUUUUCAAUGUGGUAUGUUGCAAUUAAUGUUGGUGAAAGUUCUUUGUGCGGUUGUCUUCGUUGUCUAAACUCUAAAAGCAAUUUUUCAAUUAUUUACUUCAUACCAGAAACCUAAACCUGAAAAUUACUUGUUUAAUUUUGUAAACUUAAUUGCUGUUUCAUCAAAUCAUGUAUAAAACUCGUUAAAUAUACAAUUAUUCGUUCAAAUUCGAAA